UACAGAGGGUGCGAGCGUUGUCCGGAAUCACUGGGCGUAAAGGGCGCGUAGGCGGCUUGAUAAGGUUGCGGUGAAAGCCCGGGGCUCAACCCCGGGUCGGCCGUGGCAACUGUCGAGCUGGAGCACUGUAGAGGCAGGUGGAAUUCCGGGUGUAGCGGUGGAAUGCGUAGAGAUCCGGAAGAACACCGGUGGCGAAGGCGGCCUGCUGGGCAGUGGCUGACGCUGAGGCGCGACAGCUAGGGUAGCAAACGGG
rnacentral:rRNA from 1 species